rnacentral:rRNA from 1 species
CCUACGGGCGGCAGCAGUGGGGAAUAUUGCACAAUGGGCGCAAGCCUGAUGCAGCCAUGCCGCGUGUGUGAAGAAGGCCUUCGGGUUGUAAAGCACUUUCAGCGGGGAGGAAGGCGUUAAGGUUAAUAACCUUGGCGAUUGACGUUACCCGCCGAAGAAGCACCGGCUAACUCCGUGCCACCAGCCGCGGUAAUACGGAGGGUGCAAGCGUUAAUCGGAAUUACUGGGCGUAAAGCGCACGCAGGCGGUCUGUCAAGUCGGAUGUGAAAUCCCCGGGCUCAACCUGGGAACUGCAUUCGAAACUGGCAGGCUAGAGUCGUGUAGAGGGGGGUAGAAUUCCAGGUGGAGCGGUGAAAUGCGUAGAGAUCUGGAGGAAUACCGGGGGCGAAGGCGGCCCCCUGGACAAAGACUGGCGCUCAGGUGCGAAAGCGUGGGGAGCAAACAGGAUUAGAUACCCGUGUAGUC